GCCUGGGUGGCUCAGUUGGUUAAGCAUCUGACUUUGGUUCAGGUCAUGAUCUUGUGGUUUGUGAGUUCGAGCCCCACGUCAGGCU
rnacentral:tRNA from 1 species